rnacentral:tRNA from 1 species
GGGGUUGUGGCUCAGCGGUAGAGCACUCGCCUAGCACGUGAGAGGCCUUGGGUUCAAUCCUCAGCACCA